AGUGAACGCUGGCGGUAGGCCUAACACAUGCAAGUCGAACGGCAGCACAGUAAGAGCUUGCUCUUACGGGUGGCGAGUGGCGGACGGGUGAGGAAUACAUCGGAAUCUACUUUUUCGUGGGGGAUAACGUAGGGAAACUUACGCUAAUACCGCAUACGACCUACGGGUGAAAGCAGGGGAUCUUCGGACCUUGCGCGAUUGAAUGAGCCGAUGUCGGAUUAGCUAGUUGGCGGGGUAAAGGUCCACCAAGGCGACGAUCCGUAGCUGGUCUGAGAGGAUGAUCAGCCACACUGGAACUGAGACACGGUCCAGACUCCUACGGGAGGCAGCAGUGGGGAAUAUUGGACAAUGGGCGCAAGCCUGAUCCAGCCAUACCGCGUGGGUGAAGAAGGCCUUCGGGUUGUAAAGCCCCUUUGUUGGGAAAGAAAAGCAGCAGGUUAAUACCCCGCUGUUCUGACGGUACCCAAAGAAUAAGCACCGGCUAACUUCGUG
rnacentral:rRNA from 1 species